rnacentral:lncRNA from 1 species
UUAGUGUUGGUGUUUCUUUGUGUGAAUAAAUGGAGAUAUGGGAUAUACAAUAAGAUAGCAAAGGCUAUGCAAUUAACGACAUCAAAACCAUAGACAUUUUUCAGUUUCCUAGUACAUAUUUGUUUAAGUCGUUAAACUUCUAAUUGAACUUCUGGAGAAAAAUCAAACCAUAAUGAAAUCAGGAGAUGUGGUAUAGUUGACAAUGAAACAAUUUUCCACCAAAGACCAACUGACGUACAUGAUAGCUUGCUAACAUUGGUACAUUUGAUAACACCAGUUUACCAUUUCACUACACUGCAUAUUCACUGAUACAUGAAUUGUCACCACAUUCCUUAUAAAAUAGCACCAUCAUAUUGUUUUAACCGUUCGGCAGUCCAAUUUGCACUGGGUAUAUAUAGGUUUCAUAUAUACGGCUUAUCUAUUAGGACGGCAGUCUUUUAAAUUGUAUACCUGCUUGCAUGCUUGUACUAAAGCUGCGUAUAUCGUCAGGUUUUUUUUUGGAAAUGACAGGUUGCUGGAUUUGGCAUUAUGAUACAUGAUAUAAAAUAACACGCA